rnacentral:rRNA from 1 species
AUUGAACCCUUGAAGAAUGCCUUACUCAUGCAAGUCGAACGGCAGCAUGAUCUACCUUGCUAGAUUGAUGGCGAGUGGCGAACGGGUGAGUAAUACAUCGGAACGUGCCCUGUACUGGGGGAUAACUAUUCCAAAGAUUACCUAAUACCGCAUACGACCUGAGGGUGAAAAUGGGGGACCGCAAGGCCUCAUGCUCUACGAGCGGCCCAUGUCUGAUUAGCUAGUUGGUGGGGUAAAGGCCCACCCAGGCGACGAUCAGUAUCUGGUCUGAGAGGACGAUCUGCCACACUGGGACUGAUACACCGCCCAGACUCCUACGGGAGGAAUCAUCAGCGUGAAUUUUGGACAAUGGGGGAAAGCCUGAUCCACGAAUGCCGCGUGUGUUAAGAAGGCCGUCCGGGUUGAAAGCACUUUUGCCCGGAAACAACAUGCUCUGGCUAAUACCGCGGGCCGAUGACGGCACCUGCAAGAUCAGUGCUGGCUUAUUACGUGCCAGCAGCCACGCUAAUGUUUUCGGUCCUACUGUUAAUCGCAAUUACUGGGCGUAAAGCGUGCGCAGGCGGUUGUGCAAGACCGAUGUGAAAUCCCCGAGCUAACUGGGGAAUUGCAUUGGUGACUGCACGGCUAGAGUGUGUCAGAGGGGGGUAGAAUUCCACGUGUAGCAGUGAACUGCGUAGAGAUGUGGAGGAAUACCGAUGGCGAAGGCAGCCCCCUGGGAUAACACUGACGCUCAUGCACGAAAGCGUGGGGAGCAAACAGGAUUAGAUACCCUGGUAGUCCACGCCCUAAACGAUGUCAACUAGUUGUUGGGGAUUCAUUUCCUUAGUAACGUAGCUAACGCGUGAAGUUGACCGCCUGGGGAGUACGGUCGCAAGAUUAAAACUCAAAGGAAUUGACGGGGACCCGCACAAGCGGUGGAUGAUGUGGAUUAAUUCGAUGCAACGCGAAAAACCUUACCUACCCUUGACAUGCCACUAACGAAGCAGAGAUGCAUUAGGUGCUCGAAAGAGAAAGUGGACACAGGUGCUGCAUGGCUGUCGUCAGCUCGUGUCGUGAGAUGUUGGGUUAAGUCCCGCAACGAGCGCAACCCUUGUCUCUAGUUGCUACGAAAGGGCACUCUAGAGAGACUGCCGGUGACAAACCGGAGGAAGGUGGGGAUGACGUCAAGUCCUCAUGGCCCUUAUGGGUAGGGCUUCACACGUCAUACAAUGGUGCAUACAGAGGGUUGCCAAGCCGCGAGGUGGAGCUAAUCCCAGAAAAUGCAUCGUAGUCCGGAUCGUAGUCUGCAACUCGACUACGUGAAGCUGGAAUCGCUAGUAAUCGCGGAUCAGCAUGCCGCGGUGAAUACGUUCCCGGGUCU